rnacentral:rRNA from 1 species
AGAAUGAACGCUGGCGGCGUGCUUAACACAUGCAAGUCGAACGAGGCGGAGGGGGCAACCCCUCCAGUCGAGUGGCGGACGGGUGAGUAACACGUGGGUAACCUGCCCGGAAGUGGGGAAUACCUCGGGGAAACUCGAGCUAAUACCGCAUGACAUCUUCGGGACGAAAGUCCUGACGAUCAAAGCGGGGCCGCAAGGCCUCGCGCUCCCGGGAUGGGCCCGCGCCCGAUUAGCUAGUUGGCGAGGUAACGGCUCACCAAGGCUUCGAUC